CAUCCUAACAUGUCGAAGACAAAUUCGUUUUCUCUUUUCUUCCUUCUCUCUUCGUUCUUAUCUCCUUCUUCUUCUGUUCUCUGUCGAAUUCAAUUCAUAGAAUUGAGUUAAAUCUUGUGAGUUAUUCAAAGAAACUUAGUUAGCUUGAUGAACUGAAGAAGAUGAAGUUAGAAUUGAAGUUGUUGGAGUUCCAGGAGAAGAAGAAGGUGAUGUUGGUGUUAGAUUGAAGUUAGGGUUCGUGUAGAACUGAUGAUGAUAUAGUGUUAUUAAUGGAUGAAGAGAAGAGGGGUUGCUGUUGAAUUGAUGUGAUAAAGCUGUUCUACUGUGGAAACGAAAGAAGAAGUUACUCUUUAUCAACACCGAACGAUUCAAAAGACGAACCGGUGGAUUGUACAUCUCGAGGUAGGUGAGGCUUGUCAUCAAAAGAGUUUCAGAGACAGAUUCAGAUCAAGUUGUGCACGUGGCGAUGAAAGCUUUGAGGAGUUGGUUGCGUUAGUUGGUUAGCUUCCGCUGUGUUUAUUUUGUGUUUAUAUUUUACUUGUAAACCAACUCAUUAUUGUAUAUGUAACAUCUAAGAGGAGUUCUUGUAUUUAUUUCAGAGAGGGUU